UACGUAGGGUGCGAGCGUUGUCCGGAAUUAUUGGGCGUAAAGAGCUCGUAGGCGGUCUGUUGCGUCUGCUGUGAAAACUCGGGGCUUAACCCCGAGCCUGCAGUGGAUACGGGCAGACUAGAGGUAGGUAGGGGAGAAUGGAAUUCCCGGUGUAGCGGUGAAAUGCGCAGAUAUCAGGAGGAACACCGAUGGCGAAGGCAGGUCUCUGGGCCGAUACUGACGCUGAGGAGCGAAAGCGUGGGGAGCGAACAGG
rnacentral:rRNA from 1 species